rnacentral:rRNA from 1 species
AUGAUUACUACGUUGGAUCGAGUGGCAGAAAAUUAUGAAAUCACUGACAUUAUGUUGGAACACAAUCACUAUCUUCAAUUACCACAAACCCGCCACUUGUUGGCCUCGCAGAGGAAGAUUUCAAAACAACAAGCCUUCGAGAUAGAAACCGCCGAUGAUUCUGGAAUUAUGCCAAAAGCUUCACAUGAGUUUGUUUGUCCCAAAGUAGGUGGGCCGCUGAACCUUGGUUACACUUGCCAUGACAAAAAACAUCAUUUGCGAAGCAAGUGGCAGAGGGAGUUGGCUUAUGGACAAGCUGGUGGUAUGUUGAAGUUUUUCUGUGACAAAAUAGCCGAAAAUCCACCAUUCCUAUAUGCUUUGUAG